UUGCUGUCGAUUAUUGACAAAUAGUCGGGUGACAAUGUUGACCAAGAUUCCAUGACAUGCAUGGACAUGUAAGAGCCUUCAGUAUAUGAUAUUGUUCUUUUUUAUGUCAUUAUGAUAUAUUUCUAUUAUGAAUUACAAAAUACGUUGAACCACAAACGUCAAAUUUAUUCAAUCCCGUAGUGGAAUGAACUACUUUCGGAUUCUUAUAAAUUCUAUAUAACUUUUGUACUAUUUUAAAUCUCGGUCAAUUUCUGAAAUUAAUUCUUACAUACUUUGAUUUUUAACCAUGUAUGCUAACAUUGCCUAUGUGAAAUUUUUAAAUUGUUUGUAUGUUCAUUGAACAAGAAAUAUAUGUGACGUAUAAAAUUUUCUGACGUCAUGAUGCAGACACGCGAAUCAAUGAAUGUGUUUGUAAAUAGAUGUUUUUGUGUUCUGUUGAA
rnacentral:lncRNA from 1 species